ensembl:lncRNA
AGGAGAACUCGGAUCAUACCCUUUACAAGCACUUGGCAAGGGAAGACCUCAAAAGAGAGCUCAGAGGGGGACUGUCAACAUAGAAAUGUUUUGUUUAAAGGGAAAAAUCUUUGUUGUAGAACUGCUGUCUGACUUUCUCUUUCCUUCUUUCUUUCCUGGUUCAUUCAUUUAUCUGUUAAAAUAUUCAGCAAUGUUUGUUAGGUGCCAACUCUUUGCCGGGUAUGAAGAGAAAGGCCCCGCGCUGGCGCUGGCGGAGUUUACCGUCUAGUAGGGGCAGGGAUGAAAGAGCCAAAAGGAAAAUAAAGCAGGCCGUAGAUUAGCGCGGAGGGGCGCGGGGCAUGGCUUAAGGGGUUAGUCAAGGAAGGUCACUGGACUGUCAAAUAUCUGUAAGCGCUUUCCCCAGGGCCGCGUCGCUUCCUCUCUGACUCCAUCAGAGGGACUCUAUUCUGCGCAGUCUCUGUCCCUCUGUGUCCCUUCGUUUCAGUCCCUUUCGGAGCCUUCCCUGCUCUGCGUGUGCAUGCGGGCGAAGACCAGACCCAGAGCUCUGAGUGCGGGCCGCUCCUGCCCAUCCUCUCCUUUAACAACUCCCCCAUCCCCGGGAGGCCCGCGAGAGGGUCUAGGAAGCGCAGCCCCAGGACCCAGUCACCGUCGGGAGGCGGCGUCUGAGGUCCCGAUCACUAGAGCUGGGAGCUGCUGGAAACGCCGAGAAGUUUCCAGAGGGGGCUGGCGACAGCUACUCGUUCUCCCUCGGCGGCAGCUCUCCAAGCCUGCGCGGGCCAAUCACCGUCCUGGUAACCAGCAAUUUAUUUAGCGCCUAAUCUGUUUCCCUACGUGCUUCACGUGAAUUAUUUCAUUCAUUCCUCCUGGCAGCUUGAUUACUAUUACCCCACUUUAGGGAUCGACCCUACGCCGCGGCUAUUGCUGGCCGAGCUGGGCUUCGAACUAGACUGUCUGGCUCCAAACUACUCAGCGCUGGCCACAUUUCCCUUCGGUUCCCCACCGCAGAGCCGCAGCGAUCAGGAUCCCAUUUACAAAGGAGAAAAAUGAGGCCCGGAGAGAGUAAGCUCUGUCAGGCGCUGAGCGAAAUGUUUUAGUUCCUCAGCUCAUUUCCUUUCCUCAAGCUCUCUAAGAGGCGGAAUUCACGGGCCAGUAGCGAAGGAGGAAAGAGAACGAGAUAAGAGAGGGUUCGUUGGCGGUGGCUGCGCAGGUCGAAAUGGCAGCGUGAUGGAGGCACGGCCAGGUUUGGCUCCUACUGCUGUGUCGUCCCAGCUUCGUGGCCCUUGGAAGCAGCGUUGACCCAUCACGGCAACCAGACCCGGCACCCACCCCGGAAACGGAGAACUGGGAGAAGAGAAAUUACAGCCAAGUUCUGAAAGCGCGGCGCGGGUCCCCGCCUCCACAUUGUCAUUGUCGGAUCCCAGCCCCAUGCCGCGGCGCACCCUGCUCCACACCGCUCGUCCUGCCUGGCGUCUGCCCUGCUGGCUGCUGUCGCCACGCCGGGGCCUUUUCCCGCACCCAAUCUUCUGGAGCCCACACUCGGUCCCCGCUGGAGAUGCAGCGAAAGAGGGGAGGGGAGAGCGUGGGGGAGAGGAUUUGACCGAGAAAAGCCUUUGAAAGGCCGGUGGUGCAACUCCUGUCCAUUUCACUGAACGACAUCCUUAAGCCUUUUCUACUGGAAUUUCCCUCAGACAUGAGGCUAUCCUAGGGUUUCUGUUUGGAAGAAUUGUGGCAAGGGUUCUCUUGGCGCUUGCUUUCGGACUUCACAUGCCCAACGCCGGUGCUCGAGAAGGCUGGGGAAGAACCGUGCAGCGGCGGCACCUGCAGCUUCUCUCGGCCGCUCUGCGCCUGCACCCGUGGUUAGUUCAGGGGCACCUCGUCCACGCUGCAUGCCCAGAGCACUACUGGAUCGCCUCAGCGGUAGCCAGGAACCCCAGGCCUGGGAGAGCUAGCGGGAUCUCUGGGCGUUCAGCUUUCUGGUGCUGUUGGCAGGGGCCGAGUUUGGCAUCCGCCCAGCGUGCCGGCCCCUCCUUGCGUUCUUAACGUCUGCAUCCUCUCUGAUCCUUGUGGAAAGAUUGUUGGCGAGACUGGUGGACAUCAUACUGCAUUCUGAGGCAGAAUAAUGAGAGUGACAGCUCAGGAUCUGUUAAGCUUUCCAUAGAGGCCAGCUGCCACGACAAACUAUCUAUACCCAUCAGAUAAUUUGUCACACCCGUUCUAUGAGGGACGUAUCGUUAUCACCCCUAUUUUACAGGUAAGAGGA